UCCAUGGUGGCUAAGACGGUAAAGAAUCUGCCUACAGAGCAGGAGACCUGGGUUCGAUCCCUGGUUUGGGAA
rnacentral:tRNA from 1 species